UAUCAAUAAUAUUAUAAAUAGGGUUAGAUUUUUUGUUUGUAAUAGAUAAAAUCUAAAACUACAAAACUGAUUUUUUUAAAAAUUCACCAUUGAGUAACACAGGCAUGCUACAAUAUCUAGGACUAAUGCAUCAAUUUAAAGUAUUAGUUGCCAAGUAAGAAAAAUUAUUUCCUUUGGAGAGGUUCCAUCAGUUUGUUAGGCUACCUCAGAAUGGAUUCUAAUUUAAAAUUGUAUUGUUGCUGGAUAUUCUAAGGCAACAGGCAAUUUUAUAACUUACAAAAAAUAGUCAAGAAUAUAAGUUUUGUAAAACCUUAAACCAAAGCAGCUUAUAUAUGAGAUGGGUUUAAUAAUGUUCUACAAUAUAUAGUAUUGUGUUACAUAAUCUGACUUAUGAUAUUGUGAAGUCUCAAAGGGGUAGAGAUCUACUUUUGGUAAAUGGCUAUACCUAUGCUAUGAACACUGAACGUCGUUGGAUAUGCUCUACUCACCAUCCUAAGUGCAAAGUGAAGUUGUAUCUUGAGUCUAAUGGUCGAAUAUCAUCCUUAACUGGAGAUCAUAUACAUGGUCCUAAAAAAAUAUUCAACUAUAAUGGUCGUAUUGUGAGGUUGUAAUGCUUAAUAAAUUAACAUGAGUUAUGUUAAUACUUUAGUUUAGGUACAGAAUUAAGUGACAUUAUUUUUUUUUAAUUAAAUUUAAACUGUAGGACAAGGUAAUUUAGUUCUGUUAUUUAAGACCUACUAAUUUUUUUUAUUUGUAUUAAGUGAGUUAUGACAUUGUUUUAACCAUUUUGUGUAUUAUAUUUGUACUUAUGUU